rnacentral:lncRNA from 1 species
AACUUCCAGCUGCCAGCAAACUUCCAGCUGCUGGCUGAUGAUUGGCUCACAGCGGCCCCAGCAACAUCUAGCUGAUUGGCUCCUCAGCCCCAGCAACAUCUAGCUGAUUGGCUCCUCUGCGGUGAUGCUCAUUGGGCUGUUUCCCUGCCCUUUCAGACCACGGAGCUGCUCAUUGGGGGACUUUUUUGGCUCCGCCCACGUGACCCAGCCAAUUGGCCUCAAGAGCAGGAGGAUUGUGGGAGGUGGAGAGAAGCUUGUGUGGGAGAGAGAGGCUUGUGGAAAGCCGGUGGUGGCAGUUGAGGCUCUGAGGGUUUUUCCUGAGAGGCUGUUUUGUUUGGCGUGUGUGGUUCUAAAAAUAAAGUUAGUUUCUUUUGACAAGUGGCUCCUGAUUGUGCCCAGCCAGACUGCGGCANUCCCCUUGGAUAAGGGAGCACUACUACAUUCUGUUUACUAGAGGCUGGCCUUGAACUUGCAACCUUUCUGCCUCCCUGAUUACAGGUACAUGGCACCCAUGUGGCUUGAGAAUUUGCUUUGGAUUGAAGAAUUCAAGAAGGCUUUGCGGAGGGAGUGGUAUUUGACUUGGGCCUUAAAAUGUGGGCUGGGACGGGACAUGGAAGGGAGAUUCAUUCGUUCCAUGCCAGCAUAGUGGCAAGAACUGUUUUGGUGGUGGUUGGUUGGAAGUACGGCUACAACCAGGGAGGCAGAAAGAAGAGUAGGCAGGGGACCCUCAGAUCCUUGAUGUGGCCUUGUUUAAUAGCAUCUGCCAUACUGUACCAUGAGGUCCUUGUGCACAGAGCCCUGUUUCACUGACAUAAGUCCCCACAAGCCCUGCAGCCUGUGCACAGUACCUUGUACUGUGAUUGUUAAUAAAUGUAAGCUGAAUACAUGAGUGCCAAUAUAGUGCCAGGGGAUAGGACUGGUAAAGGAGAGAUAAGCAAAGACCAUUCAUUUAAUAGCAAGGGAAACUGAGGUCCAAAGAGUGCCUGAAGUUGUUUGGCAUGACAGAUGUGGGUGCCCAGUGCCUGGCAUAUAGAAGAAGCACAGUCCUACGUUUCCCUUCCUCCCUGGGACUACCACAGAGCUAGACCCAGGAGUGUAUGAUCAUCCCAUCUCAUCUCCCAGAGUCAUGCCCUGGCUACAUCAAAAUUCAAGGCUUUUGGGGUAGGAGUUGUAGCUCAGUGGUAGAGCACUUGCCUAGCAUGUGUGAGGAACUGGGUUCAAUUCUCAGCACUACAUAUAAAUAAAUAAAUAAAAUUAAAAGGUCCUUCAACAAUAAAUAAAUAAAAAUAAAAAUAUAACAUAUAAAAACAAUAAAUUAAAAUUUAAAUAAAAAAAAAACCUCAAGGCUUAGGAAGAUGGAAAGUAGAAUGCUCCCCUUAUAUCUCAUCACAUAGAAGCAGUAGAAGGCAGAGGCAGGCUGCAGCAGACCCUUUAAAAGACACUUGGAAUGGGCUGGGGAUGUGGCUCAAGCAGUAGCGCGCUCGCCUGGUAUGCGUGCGGCCCGGGUUCGAUCCUCAGCACCACAUACAAACAAAGAUGUUGUGUCCCCU